rnacentral:rRNA from 1 species
UACUCCCGCCGGCGACCGGCGCACGGGUGAGUAACACGUAUGAAACCUGCCCGUAGCAGGGGGAUAAGGCGGAAGAAAUUCCGUCUAAUACCGCGUAACAACCCGAGGAGGCAUCUCCUCGGGUUUAAAGGAAGCGAUUCCGGCUACGGAUGGUCAUGCGUCGCAUUAGCUAGUUGGCGGGGUAACGGCCCACCAAGGCGACGAUGCGUAGGGGUUCUGAGAGGAAGGUCCCCCACACUGGUACUGAGACACGGACCAGACUCCUACGGGAGGCAGCAG